CAAAAGUUUGGUCCUGACUUUCUUAUCUGCUCUAACUAGACAUAUACAUGCAAGUGUCCGCACCCCUGUGAGAAUGCCCCAACAGCGCUCUGCUCGAGAACAAGGAGCCGGUAUCAGGCGCCCUAUGCACGGAGCCAAUUACACCUUGCUUAGCCACACCCCCAAGGGAUUGCAGCAGUAAUAAACAUUAAGACAUGAGCGAAAGCUUGACUUAGUUAUAGUUACUAGGGCCGGUAAAUUCUCGUGCCAGCCACCGCGGUUAUACGGGAGACCCAAGUAGAUCGGCUCACGGCGUAAAGCGUGGUUAAGAAGCCCACUGCAAAUAAAGCUAAACACCCUCUCGGCUGUUACAUGCAUUUGAGGUCACAGAAACUCAACUACGAAAGUGGCUUUACUACCUUUCCUAUCCACGAAAGCUUUGAUACAAACUGGGAUUAGAUACCCCACUAUGCCUAGCCCUAAACAUAGAUAGCCAAUUCACAAACUCUAUCCGCCCGGGGACUACGAGCGCAAGCUUAGAACCCAAAGGACUUGGCGGUGCUUCAUAUCUCUCUAGAGGAGCCUGUCCUGGAACCGAUAAUCCCCGUUCAACCUCACCCCUCCUGGACCCUCCAGCCUAUAUACCGCCGUCGUAAGCUUACCCUGUGAAGGUCUGAUAGUAAGCCCGGUUAUUUAACUUCCUAACGUCAGGUCGAGGUGUAGCUUAUGAAGGGGAAUGAGAUGGGCUACAUUUACUAACUUUAGUAUACACGAAUGGCUUGUUUGAAAAUGGCAAGUCUGAAGGAGGAUUUAGUAGUAAGCUCAGGAGCAGUGCACCUGGCUGAAUUUUGGCUCUGAAGCAUGUACACACCGCCCGUCACUCUCUCCAAAAAUUUUUCCCCGUUCUAUUUAAUCUUCUACCACAAAUAAAGGGGAGGCAAGUCGUAACAUGGUAAGUGUACCGGAAGGUGCACUUGGAAUAU
rnacentral:ncRNA from 1 species